ACUCUCUCAGCAUUCCUGGGCCUCCCAGCCAGGCCUCUGAGGGCGGCGGUAGCCGCUGUUUUAGAAGGCGGUGGGUUUCUCUUGCCCUCGCGCUCUUGUAUUUUCCUCUUUCAAGAAAAAGCUUUUGGCUUCUUUCUAGGAAAAGGAAACAGAGCCUAUUUGUUCCUCUUCAGCACCUGCUCCUCUGGACUGUGUUUUAAGGCACCUUCUUGGCAGCACUCAAGAAGCUGAAUCAAGAGGAUCAAGAGACAGAGCCAUCGAUGGAUAUAUAGCACUGGCAUCAUCUCUGCUGCUGUGCCUAAGAAGCUACUGAUGAUGGCCAGUAUUGAGGACUGCUACACAUCAGCCAGGACCUGCACUGCCACCCUGGGCAACUUUGCCAAGGUCACCUUUGAUGCCAUCUCCAAGAUGUACAGCUACCUGACCCCCAACUUCUGGAAAGAGGUUGCGUUCACCAAGUCUCUUUAUCAGGAAUUCACUGAUCUUCUUGUGAAAACCCACACCAGUGUCUCUGUUCAGAGGACCCAGGCUUCAGCUGUGGCUACCAUGCUCUGGCUCUAAACUAACUGCAGUUUCAAUGAAGUUCCCUGAUAUUCAGCCCCUCUACCUAAUGGUAUUCCUCAGAGAUCUCACUAGCUCCUCAAUCACAUCAGUCCUGAACCUGCCACAUCCUGAGACAAGAUCAAACUAUACCAUAGGCUAGCAUUAAGUAUGAGGAUGAAGAGAUUUGGGGAAAAAGAACCUCAAUUGUGAAAAUACCUCCAUAAGACUGACCUACAG